AAUGAACGUUGGCGGCGUGGAUUAGGCAUGCAAGUCGAGCGGGUGUAGUAAUACAUCAGCGGCGAAAGGGAGAGUAACGCGUAGUUACGUGCCCCGAGGUCCAGAAUAGCUACGGGAAACUGUAGGUAAUGCUGGAUAAUAUCUCCGGAUCAAAGGUGUGAUUCCGCCUCGGGAGCGGACUGCGUCCUACUAGCUAGUUGGCGGGGUAAUGGCCCACCAAGGCAACGAUGGGUGGCGGGUGUGAGAGCAUGACCCGUCUCACUGGGACUGAGACACUGCCCAGACACCUACGGGUGGCUGCAGUCGAGAAUCUUCGGCAAUGAGCGCAAGCUUGACCGAGCGACGCCGCGUGCGGGAUGAAGGCCUUCGGGUUGUAAACCGCUUUCGGUUGGGAGGAAAUCGCUAGGGGUUCUCCCCUAGUGUUGACCUAUCUUCGGAAGAAGGACGGGCUAAGUUCGUGCCAGCAGCCGCAGUAACAC
rnacentral:rRNA from 1 species